UGACCUCAAAUCAGGUAGGACUACCCGCUGAACUUAAGCAUAUCAAUAAGCGGAGGAAAAGAAACUAACAAGGAUUCCCCUAGUAACUGCGAGUGAAGCGGGAAAAGCUCAAAUUUAAAAUCUGGCGGUCCUUGGCCGUCCG
rnacentral:rRNA from 1 species